rnacentral:rRNA from 1 species
CGGAGGGUGCAAGCGUUAUCCGGAUUUACUGGGUUUAAAGGGUGUGUAGGCGGGCUUUUAAGUCAGUGGUGAAAUCUCCGGGCUCAACCUGGAAACUGCCAUUGAUACUAUUAGUCUUGAAUUUUGUUGAGGUAGGCGGAAUAAGUCAUGUAGCGGUGAAAUGCAUAGAUAUGACUUAGAACACCAAUUGCGAAGGCGGCUUGCUAAACAAAUAUUGACGCUGAGGCACGAAAGCGUGGGGAUCAAACAGGAUUAGAUACCCUGGUAGUCCACGCCCUAAACGAUGAUUACUCGACAUACGCGAUACACAGUGUGUGUCUGAGCGAAAGCAUUAAGUAAUCCACCUGGGAAGUACGACCGACAAGGUUGA